rnacentral:lncRNA from 1 species
UUACAUUCACUAAUUUCUAUGAUUUAUGAUAGUACUAUCCAUGCACCAUAUAAAUUACAACAAAUGAAUCAUGAAAAUAGCGCGUCAAUCCCUAGCUUCUCCCUCUUUUUUCAAAACUAAUUUGAACUUUGAAAGUACCCUAAAACCCUCGACGGUGGAAGGAAGGUUUUAUAUCCAUGAAAUGGCGACUAGCCGGAGAUCCAUAGACGCAGUAGAGCAUGUGCCACACCGUCACACAGUGGCACCAGUGGAGUUCUCCGCGAUGCUGUUGUCGGCAGUAGGUUGAAGUUGAACCGC